rnacentral:rRNA from 1 species
AUGCAAGUCGAGCGGGGGAAGGUAGCUUGCUACUGGACCUAGCGGCGGACGGGUGAGUAAUGCUUAGGAAUCUGCCUAUUAGUGGGGGACAACAUCUCGAAAGGGAUGCUAAUACCGCAUACGUCCUACGGGAGAAAGCAGGGGAUCUUCGGACCUUGCGCUAAUAGAUGAGCCUAAGUCGGAUUAGCUAGUUGGUGGGGUAAAGGCCUACCAAGGCGACGAUCUGUAGCGGGUCUGAGAGGAUGAUCCGCCACACUGGGACUGAGACACGGCCCAGACUCCUACGGGAGGCAGCAGUGGGGAACAUUGGACAAUGGGGGGAACCCUGAUCCAGCCAUGCCGCGUGUGUGAAGAAGGCCUUAUGGUUGUAAAGCACUUUAAGCGAGGAGGAGGCUACUUUAGUUAAUACCUAGAGAUAGUGGACGUUACUCGCAGAAUAAGCACCGGCUAACUCUGUGCCAGCAGCCGCGGUAAUACAGAGGGUGCGAGCGUUAAUCGGAUUUACUGGGCGUAAAGCGUGCGUAGGCGGCUUAUUAAGUCGGAUGUGAAAUCCCCGAGCUUAACUUGGGAAUUGCAUUCGAUACUGGUGAGCUAGAGUAUGGGAGAGGAUGGUAGAAUUCCAGGUGUAGCGGUGAAAUGCGUAGAGAUCUGGAGGAAUACCGAUG